rnacentral:rRNA from 1 species
UCGGGGCACAUGGAAUUGCCAUGGGCAGCUGAGAGCAUCCCCGUUGAGAGCCUGGCUGUAAUCUUCGCGGGGGAGUGUAGGUAAUCCCUUCAUUGCGUCCCCCGAGAGCACGGUAAUCGGGCAGAGCCGUGUAUAGGAGGUGCAGCGUAUCGAAUUAUGGCGUAAGCCCGCAGCGUCACUAGUAGAUGGAAGCCCGAGCUAACUGGGAUGCAUUGAACUGUUGGCUGAUCUGUGAGGCGGUAAAUCCCAGUGAGCGUGAAUGCGUAGAGAUGGGAGGAUACCGUGGCGAAGGCGGCCCCUGGCAAAGCUGCGCUCAGGGCGAAGCGUGGGAGCAACAGGAUAGAACCCUGGUAUCCACGCGUAACGAUGUCGAUUAGAGGCGGGUCUUAGCCGGGCUUCGGAGCUACGCGCAACUCGACCGCCUGGGGAGACGGCCGCAAGGUAAACUCAAAGAAUGACGGGGCUCGCACAAGCGGUGGAGCAAGGGUUAAUUCGAUCAACGCGAAGAGCCUUACGUCUCUUGACUCCAGCGAAUCCUUUAGAGUAGAGGAGGCCUUCGGAACGCAAGACAGGUGUGCAUGGCUUCGUCAGCUCGUGUUGUGAAAUGUCGGGUUAAGUCCCGCAACGAGCGCAACCCUUAUCCUUUGUUGCCAGCACGUGAUGGUGGGAACUCAAAGGAGACUGCCGGUGAUAAACCGGAGGAAGGUGGGGAUGACGUCAAGUCAUCAUGGCCCUUAUGAGUAGGGCUACACACGUGCUACAAUGGCAGAUACAAAGAGAAGCGACCUCGCGAGAGCAAGCGGAACUCAUAAAGUCUGUCGUAGUCCGGAUUGGAGUUUGCAACUCGAUUCCAUGAAGUCGGAAUCGAUAGUAAUCGUAGAUCAGAAUGGUACGGUGAAUACGUUCCCGGGCCUUGUACACACCGCCCGUCACACCAUGGGAGUGGGUUGCAAAAGAAUGUAGGUAGCUUAACCUCCGGUAUGGUAGCUA